rnacentral:rRNA from 1 species
UCGGGAAUUUUGGGCAAUGGGCGAAAGCCUGACCCAGCAACGCCGCGUGAAGGAUGAAGUAUUUCGGUAUGUAAACUGCUUUUGAACAAGAGAAAACCCCGGUACGUGUACUGGGUUGAUAGUAUUGUUAGAAUAAGCAUCGGCUAACUUCGUGCCAGCAGCCGCGGUAAGACGAAGGAUGCAAGCGUUAUCCGGAUUCAUUGGGUUUAAAGGGUGCGUAGGCGGACUGAUAAGUCAGUGGUGAAAUCUCUCGGCUUAACCGAGAAACUGCCAUUGAUACUGUUAGUCUAGAGUACAGAUGAUGUGGGCGGAAUAUGACAUGUAGUGGUGAAAUACUUAGAUAUGUCAUAGAACACCGAUUGCGAAGGCAGCUCACAAAACUGUAACUGACGCUGAGGCACGAAAGUGCGGGGAUCAAACAGGAUUAGAUACCCUAGUAGUCCCUGAGCGGGCUGGCAAGGCGCAU